CUUGAAACAAAACAGUAAAUUGCCUUUGUACGUAAACCAUGACAUUUUUUACAUAAACGGGCAAAUGCCUUGAAAUAAAGUCCAAUUUCAUCCGCAUUGAACACACAAGACAGAGGAUAUUUAAUGAUAAGAGAUGAACAAUCUGAAUGAAUCCAUGAUCGUGCAGCUGUAUGGUCUACUUCUCCCUGUUCUUCACGUGGCUUAACGAACGAAAUGUUUUCGCGUUUCUUUCAUCGGUAAAACCAACCUUCUGUUGCCACUAAAUCAUUUUUUUUCACGAGAUCCUCGGUUUUUUGGCGCAACAAUGGUCCUGUAACUCUGGCAUCUUUUUAUGUGACUUUUGUGAACCAUUAUUUCAAUGCGUCUUCAACUUCUUCUUUAUCGACCAUUUUUCUUUUACGAUUUGAAUUUGCUAAUGAUACGUUUUCGAUUUCCUGUUGAAUUUCUGCAUCCUACCCAGUAAACUUUGAGACGUUUAACUUACAUGUAGCUUACCACUGACUCAUUUGCGGAAGCUCGUCAUACUUUUUAAAAACGCAUAAUUUUUCUUCCACACUCAAAUCAUGUCGUUUGUUCAUUGUAUACAAACGAAAAAAUAAAAAUUUGUACAGAGAAUAUAAACACAGACAACACUGAACACGACGACGUCUAUUCAUACAAUACAAUACCUAUCUAUUGACAUUGACGACUGCUUGGUUUAUCGUGAAAAGGUAAUUUAUUUUAUUUACGAUAAAAUCAAAAUGCAGGUACCGGCUUCUAUUGCAUUUAUAACACAUUUUUUCAGUAAAUGUACAUAUUUUUUUUUAUGUAUCUAAUUUUCAAAUGACC